rnacentral:lncRNA from 1 species
AUCCCAACAGGGCAGGACAUGUUCUCCUCAGGCUGAGAAGUCGCAGCUCUAUCCCCUGUUGCAGAUGGCUCCUUCUUUCUUCUUCCUUCCCAGGAGCUGUGGAGUCCAAGUGUGACUGCCAAGAGAAAUCCAGAAAAGCCCAAGAGCUUGAGUGUGUAGUCUUCCUGUAUAGCCUGCCACAUACACUUAAUACCCAGAGGAAGCAAGCGGGUGUGGUGGGGGAUGCAAGGGCAAGCAGGGAGCCUAGAUGAGCAGCCUCAUCAAUCUGCAGGCUAAAGCAGCAGGAAGGGAUCCUUGGCAGUUCUGUUUAUUUGGCAAGAUUGGGACAUGACCUGAGCUUACACCAAAUUACCUCAUAGCAAAUUAUUUUUUACCAAGCACUGUAAAUGUUGGGAUGAGUACACCAGGCUCUUGGGCUGAGGGUAGAUGAAUACAUCAAAGACCUGGUAAUUAACCUCCAGGUGUGGUUGGGCGCUUGUCUCUCCUCUUUUAGGAAAGAGUUAAAUCCCAACUGCCUCCUCUCCACCCCUCAGGUGCAGCAUUUCUGGUUCCUUCGAGAGGGUGAGGAGAGCCUGCAGGCAUGCUGUGCACCUCUGCAAUUGCUAGUCCCAGGGUCACAGCAAGUGGAAGUGCAGAGCACCACAAACUGCUUUGAGCAGAGCCCACUUCCUUCAUCCCGGAGAGCAUGGAGCCGUUACACCAACAUCAAUCAAGGGGGACCCAGGCGCUGCACUCACACAGUUGAAGCAGGGGAGCAAAUCGAAGACUCACCCAGGAGCAGAGUGCUUUUGAGACAGAGGAAGAAGACAAAACAGCUCCCAGCUCAGCUUCUCUUGCCAUAUUCAGGAAUCACCACACGUGCUGUUAUAUUGGGCCUCAUUUUGUUUCCCUUUCCCCAACACCUGUGUGCUGUGCUUGUGGUGAGUCUUCAUAGCCAAGUACAAUUUUUCCAGUUCAACUCCACUGAUCACUAUCAACAAGAAAGUGUAAGAGCUCAGAAGUCAUCUUGGAGGCCCCAGGCGAAGACCAGUCCUGCAACCUUGGAAGGCAGCUAUGGUCACCACUAUACCACCAACGCCACACCAGUCAUGCAACCUUGGGAUGUGCAGGGUUUGGGCAGCCAAGGCUUGCUGCACUAACCCUUUGCUGCAUGUGUUUCAACAGUGCCAUUUACUUGAUGAAUGUCUCUUUUCCGGCAGAUGACAUGAGAACAGUGCUUGUAACUGUUUCUGCUCAGCAUGAUAUUCAGAACCCUUAACAUGGUUACUGACAUACAGGAGGUGUCUGUAUUUGUUGAAUAAAUGAAUAAAGGAGUAAUGUCUACUUUCUGUUGUCAUUAUUUCCUUUCAUAAUAUACCAUAUUCCAUGUCUUUUUGCCCAUCCCCAUCUCUUUCAUGCAUUGUUUCUUAAUUAUGGAUCUUGAUAUGUGACUUAUCCCUAAAGUUAUUUUGUGCUACUGAAUAACAUGUUGUAAGUACAUAAAAUAUUAUAUUAUAUUCCUCUACCUUUCAAUUACAUUCUUAUACUGCCAGGUAUUAUAUUAUCCCAAUAUAAAUACUUUUUAAGUGGCAAAUGUUUUUUGGUU